rnacentral:rRNA from 1 species
AUUGAACGCUGGCGGCAUGCUUUACACAUGCAAGUCGAACGGUAACAGGUUAAGCUGACGAGUGGCGAACGGGUGAGUAAUGCAUCGGAACGUGCCCGAUCGUGGGGGAUAACGCAGCGAAAGCUGCGCUAAUACCGCAUACGAUCUGAGGAUGAAAGCGGGGGACCGUAAGGCCUCGCGCGAUCGGAGCGGCCGAUGUCAGAUUAGGUAGUUGGUGGGGUAAAGGCUCACCAAGCCAACGAUCUGUAGCUGGUCUGAGAGGACGACCAGCCACACUGCGACUGAGACACGGCCCAGACUCCUACGGGAGGCAGCAGUGGGGAAUUUUGGACAAUGGGCGAAAGCCUGAUCCAGCAAUGCCGCGUGCAGGAAGAAGGCCUUCGGGUUGUAAACUGCUUUUGUACGGAGCGAAAAGGCUCUCUCUAAUACAGGGGGCCCAUGACGGUACCGUAAGAAUAAGCACCGGCUAACUACGUGCCAGCAGCCGCCGUAA